rnacentral:rRNA from 1 species
UGGGGAAUAUUGGACAAUGGGCGCAAGCCUGAUCCAGCAAUGCCGCGUGUGUGAAGAAGGCCUUCGGGUUGUAAAGCACUUUUAUCAGGAGCGAAACGCUGUCGGCUAAUACCCGGCGGAACUGACGGUACCUGAGGAAUAAGCACCGGCUAACUUCGUGCCAGCAGCCGCGGUAAUACGAAGGGUGCAAGCGUUAAUCGGAAUUACUGGGCGUAAAGCGUGCGUAGGCGGUUUCUUAAGUCUGCUGUGAAAUCCCCGGGCUCAACCUGGGAAUGGCAGUGGAUACUGGGAGGCUAGAGUGUGUCAGAGGGUGGUGGAAUUCCCGGUGUAGCGGUGAAAUGCGUAGAGAUCGGGAGGAACAUCAGUGGCGAAGGCGGCCACCUGGGACAACACUGACGCUGAGGCACGAAAGCGUGGGGAGCAAACAGGAUUAGAUACCCUGGUAGUCCACGCCCUAAACGAUGCGAACUGGAUGUUGGUCUCAACUCGGAGAUCAGUGUCGAAGCUAACGCGUUAAGUUCGCCGCCUGGGGAGUACGGUCGCAAGACUGAAACUCAAAUGAAUUGAC